rnacentral:tRNA from 1 species
ACUUAAAUAGUUUAAAUAAAACUUUAACUUGUGGAGUUAGAAAUACAAUAUUUGUUUUAGGUA